UACGUAGGGGGCAAGCGUUGUCCGGAUUUAUUGGGCGUAAAGAGCGUGUAGGCGGCCAGGUAGGUCCGUUGUGAAAACUCGAGGCUCAACCUCGAGACGCCGAUGGAAACCAUCUGGCUAGAGUCCGGAAGAGGAGAGUGGAAUUCCCGGUGUAGCGGUAAAAUGCGCAGAUAUCGGGAAGAACACCCGUGGCUAAGGCGGCUCUCUAGUACGGUACUGACGCUGAGACGCGAAAGCGUGGGGAGCGAACAGG
rnacentral:rRNA from 1 species